UGACUGGUUUUUAGUGAUCACCUGACAGUAAUUAGCUGACACCUGAGCUCCUCUUCUCAGUACAAGCAGAUUAGGAAUCAGAUCCUCUCCAUAGCAAGAUAUCAGACAGUGGAAAUAAUUGCUUGUAAAGCCCGGAGUAUGGAGGACGUGAGCCGCCCAUCAGGGUUCCAUUAGGCUUUGUUUCCUCCAGCUGUGCGGCGAGCUGCUCGUGGUAUGCACAGCCAUUCUAUGUUCUGACCAUCUCAAGCCGCUCUGUGCUAUGAGGAUAUGAAUCAUUCACAGCUCUAUCAGUGGGAGGCAUUACAAGGAGCUGAAGGAAUAUAUACGGUUAAGCACCUUGGAUCCUUGGCCCAGGUUGUAUACAACACUUUGGCUUCUCUUCAAGAUUUUAUACAUUAUCCACGUUGUGCCGGGAGGAUCACAAACGUUCUACAAAAUUUAAGAAAUACUGACACACGUUAUUAAACCCCAGAG